rnacentral:rRNA from 1 species
GAUGAACGCUGGCGGCGUGCCUAAUACAUGCAAGUCGAGCGAACAGACGAGUAUCUUGCUCCUCUGACGUUAGCGGCGGACGGGUGAGUAACACGUGGGUAACCUACCUAUAAGACUGGGAUAACUUCGGGAAACCGGAGCUAAUACCGGGUAAUAUAUUUAACCGAAUGGUUCAAUAGUGAAAGACGGUUUUGAUGUCACUUAUAUAUGCAUCCACGCCGCAUUAGCUAAUUGGUAAGGUAACGGGUUACCAAGGCAACGAUGCGUAGCCGCCCUGAGAGGGUGAUCGGCCAGACUGGAACUGAGACACGGCACAGACUCCUACGCGAGGCCGCAGCAGGGACUCCUCCGGAAUGGGCCAAUGGCUGACGGUGCAAAGUCGCGUGAGUGCUGAAGGUCUUCGGAUCGUAAAACUCUGUUAUCCGGGAAGUACAAAUGUUCAAGUAACUAUGAACGUAUUGACGGUACCUAAUCAGAAAGCCACGGCUAACUACGUG